AAAAAAAGGGGUAUAAAUUCGUUUUUUCUUUCUUGUGGGUACUUACUUGGUUCUCAUUUGGCAUUCGUUACAAGGUGACAUUCCAAGUUUCCUUUUGUUAGUUUUUAUCUUUGGUUACUAUGUACGUCCAAGCGUUGGGAAUUUCCGCCGCUGUUCUUUCGUUUAGGAUUGGACCCGUCAUUUUUGCUUUUAAUAUUUCUAAUACUUCCAUUAGUAUAACUUGGGAUUUUUUGGUCAGUGGUCUUAGAAUUGUCGUCUCGUCCCAGUCUAUGUUCAUGUCAUUUGUAUACACUGUCUCUGCUAGUGUGGUGGUCGUUGCCCCUUUAGCUAUGUCCCU
rnacentral:lncRNA from 1 species